AACGAACGCUGGCGGCAGGCCUAACACGUGCAAGUCGAGCGCGCCCUUCGGGGUGAGCGGCGGACGGGUGAGUAACGCGUGGGAACGUGCCCUUUUCUACGGAAUAGCCUCGGGAAACUGAGAGUAAUACCGUAUACGCCCUUUGGGGGAAAGAUUUAUCGGAAAAGGAUCGGCCCGCGUUGGAUUAGGUAGUUGGUGGGGUAAUGGCCUACCAAGCCGACGAUCCAUAGCUGGUUUGAGAGGAUGAUCAGCCACACUGGGACUGAGACACGGCCCAGACUCCUACGGGAGGCAGCAGUGGGGAAUCUUAGACAAUGGGGGCAACCCUGAUCUAGCCAUGCCGCGUGAGUGAUGAAGGCCUUAGGGUUGUAAAGCUCUUUCAGCUGGGAAGAUAAUGACGGUACCAGCAGAAGAAGCCCCGGCUAACUCCGUG
rnacentral:rRNA from 1 species